GAAAAUAAUGCAGGAAAGGUGUUUGUCGAAAUGCUUAAUUUGGAGUUGGUGUUGUUUUCUACGCUAUUUAUUGUAGUGGAUUAGGAAUUGUGUCAUUCUCUUUUCACAUAUUCUCGUAAUACGGGUUGGUGUAUAAUGAAGUAAGUUUGCUGUUUUCACUCUUUCUCGACUCCUAUAACAUUGAAAAUUCUAAAUUCUUUAGUCCUUUGGUUGAGCGUUAGCAAUAAUACAUUCAUGCUCUCCUUUUCUGUUUUCAACAUGCCAUCUUUCUAGUCACUAUAUGUGGUUAUCCAUGUUGCUUGGACGCUUCAAAAACUGUGAAUGGGUGCGUGUCGGAUUCUCCAAAAGCAGUGUAUUUUUGGAGAACCCUACACGGGUGCGGCAUCGAAAAUGAAGAGGCCGCACAACUUAGGUGGUUAUGGUAGAUUGACAUUAAAGGCACUCGUGCAUCCACUGCCUCUAAAUCUUGAUUCACCUCAGUAUUUUUUGUUGAUCCAUCUAAAGGUUAAAUUUUUGAUCAAAGUAAAUCAUCUUUGCCUGGAAAUAUAAUAGAUUCAUUAGUUUUGAUUUUCCUGUACCAGUGUAUUUUGAGCUUGAAUUUUGUUUUGUACGAUGAAAACCAACUUGUUUGAUGCAAUACCUGCUAGAAAAUCUUGUGAGUUUGGCAUUUCUUUAGCUAGUGACACGGUUGAAGAUAUUAGACCCUAAUGAAUUUUCUAUUGGAAUUACAGUUACUCAACUCAAAUAUUGGAUACUUCAAAUACAUAGGAUCUGCAAGAAGCAUUGUUAUUGUUACAACUUUAAUCAGUGAAAAGCUAAUGAUAUUAGCUAAAAUUUGAGGUACAUAUUUCUGGAAAGGGAUUGCAGCAUUUGAAGAGAAGUGUUGAACUAAUGGGUAGCAAGAUACAAAUCAAAUGGCCAAAAGAAGUCACAGCGGCUUUUGUUGAACAGCUGAUUCGAGCAGAAAAAGAUUAUA
rnacentral:lncRNA from 1 species